rnacentral:misc_RNA from 1 species
AAGUCGUAACAAGGUCUCCGUUGGUGAACCAGCGGAGGGAUCAUUACGAGAGUGUCACCACUCCCAACCCACUGUUUACCUACCCGUCCACCGUGCUUCGGCAGGCAGCCCUGUGGGACAGGGCCUCGCCCCCCUCGCGGGGGGUGCCUGCCGCUGGCCAACAUACAUUCUGUCAUUGUAGUACCAUCUGAGUCUUCCACAAAUGAACAAAACUUUCAACAACGGAUCUCUUGGUUCUG